rnacentral:rRNA from 1 species
UUGUUCAGACUAGCCAUGCACGUCUAGUACAAACUAAAUGAUGGUGAAACUGCAAAUGGCUCAUUACAACGGUUAUGAUGUACCCGGGAGUUCCGAUGGAUAUUUCCAGUAACACUAGAACUAAUACAUGUCCCUGCGUUUAUUAGUUUCGCACAGUCCGUCGCUGAGUCAUGGUAAACAGUUGAUCGACUCGACGUCCCGGAACAGUUUCCGCCCCAUCAGCUUCGAUGGUUGGGUAUUGGCCUACCAUUGCAACAACGGGUAACGAGGAAUUAGGGUUUGAUUUCGGAGAGGGAGCCUGAGAAACGGCUACCACAUCUACGGAUGGCAGCAGGCGCGCAAAUUACCCAAUGCAGACACUGUGAGGUAGUGACGAGAAAUAAUAAAGCGGGACUUCUGUUUCGCUAUUAUAAUGAGGAAUAACCAAAGGUCAUUCCGAUUAGCAACUGAUGGGAAAGUCUGGUGCCAGCAGCCGCGGUAAUACCAGCGUCAGUAGCAUA